GAUGAACGCUGGCGGCGUGCCUAAUACAUGCAAGUCGAGCGAACAGAUGAGGAGCUUGCUCCUCUGACGUUAGCGGCGGACGGGUGAGUAACACGUGGAUAACCUACCUAUAAGACUGGGAUAACUUCGGGAAACCGGAGCUAAUACCGGAUAAUAUAUUGAACCGCAUGGUUCAAUAGUGAAAGACGGUUUUGCUGUCACUUAUAGAUGGAUCCGCGCCGCAUUAGCUAGUUGGUAAGGUAACGGCUUACCAAGGCAACGAUGCGUAGCCGACCUGAGAGUGAGGUCGGGCACCCUUACACAGACACGCGCACUAGACUCAUACGGGACGGCGCAGUGGGGCAUAGUGGACAAUGGGCGUAAGCGUGAAAACACCAUACAGCGUGGGAGAAGAAGGUCUUCGGUUAGUACACCUUUUUUGUUGGGAAAGAAAAACAGUGCAACGAACCCCCGCUUUUCUGACGGUACAAAAAGAGUGGGCAACGGCUAACUUCGUG
rnacentral:rRNA from 1 species